rnacentral:rRNA from 1 species
UAGGGAAUAUUGCACAAUGGGCGAAAGCCUGAUGCAGCGACGCCGCGUGAGCGAAGAAGUUCUUCGGAACGUAAAGCUCUGUCCUUGGGGACGAAAAAAAUGACGGUACCCAAGGAGGAAGCACCGGCUAACUCCGUGCCAGCAGCCGCGGUAAUACGGGGGGUGCAAGCGUUGUCCGGAAUCAUUGGGCGUAAAGCGUUCGUAGGCGGUAUAUCAAGUCUGGUGUUAAAGCCCGGGGCUCAACUCCGGUUCGGCACUGGAUACUGGUAAGCUAGAAUGCGGUAGAGGUAAGGGGAAUUCCUGGUGUAGCGGUGAAAUGCGUAGAUAUCAGGAGGAACAUCGGUGGCGAAAGCGCCUUACUGGGCCGUAAUUGACGCUGAGGAACGAAAGCCGGGGGAGCAAAUG